UACGGAGGGAGCUAGCGUUGUUCGGAAUUACUGGGCGUAAAGCGCACGUAGGCGGCAAUUCAAGUCGGGGGUGAAAGCCCGGGGCUCAACCCCGGAACUGCCCUCGAAACUAGAUAGCUAGAAUCUUGGAGAGGCGAGUGGAAUUCCGAGUGUAGAGGUGAAAUUCGUAGAUAUUCGGAAGAACACCAGUGGCGAAGGCGACUCGCUGGACAAGUAUUGACGCUGAGGUGCGAAAGCGUGGGGAGCAAACAGG
rnacentral:rRNA from 1 species